UGCAGAGAGGUGGCCCUGCACUUGG
rnacentral:piRNA from 1 species